AGAGAGAGAGAGAGAGAGAAUUCCUUUGAACACUUUAACGAGAGUGAGAAUUGGGCCAGAAACGAUCCUAACUGUACUCCAGAAUUAUUUAAAGGGGGGUGUUAUUUUUUGACGGCAACGGAAGGUCGAAAGUAGCCGUUAGUUUAUCGUCAGCAAUGGCGGGACAAGAGUCAAGUCUCAUGGAGUCAUGGGUGGACAGUUAACGGAACAUGGGUGAACUGGCAAACGUCGUAAUUCGGAGAAAGAUGUUGGGCUACACAGACGCAUUGAAUCGAUUAAUUUGCUGGCAGUUUCUACAAUUUUG
rnacentral:misc_RNA from 1 species